rnacentral:rRNA from 1 species
AUUGAACGCUGGCGGAAUGCUUUACACAUGCAAGUCGAACGGCAGCACGGACUUCGGUCUGGUGGCGAGUGGCGAACGGGUGAGUAAUGUAUCGGAACGUGCCCAGUCGUGGGGGAUAACGUAGUGAAAAUUACGCUAAUACCGCAUACGAUCUACGGAUGAAAGCGGGGGAUCGCAAGACCUCGCGCGAUUGGAGCGGCCGAUAUCAGAUUAGGUAGUUGGUGGGGUAAAGGCCCACCAAGCCAACGAUCUGUAGCUGGUCUGAGAGGACGACCAGCCACACUGGAACUGAGACACGGUCCAGACUCCUACGGGAGGCAGCAGUGGGGAAUUUUGGACAAUGGGCGAAAACCUGAUCCAGCCAUUCCGCGUGCAGGAUGAAGGCCCUCGGGUUGUAAACUGCUUUUGUACAGAACGAAAAGGUUUCUACUAAUACUAGGAGCUCAUGACGGUACUGUAAGAAUAAGCACCGGCUAACUACGUGCCAGCCGCCGCCGUAA